rnacentral:tRNA from 1 species
GAUUUUAUAGUUUAAAAAGAACAUUAAAUUGCAAAUUUAAAAGUAAAUAUUUUUAAAAUUU